UACGUAGGUGGCAAGCGUUGUCCGGAAUUAUUGGGCGUAAAGCGCGCGCAGGUGGUUUCUUAAGUCUGAUGUGAAAGCCCACGGCUCAACCGUGGAGGGUCAUUGGAAACUGGGGAACUUGAGUGCAGGAGAGAAGAGUGGAAUUCCACGUGUAGCGGUGAAAUGCGUAGGAGAUGUGGAGGAACACCAGUGGCGAAGGCGACUCUUUGGCCUGUAACUGACACUGAGGCGCGAAAGCGUGGGGAGCAAACAGGGA
rnacentral:rRNA from 1 species